GACGAACGCUGGCGGCGUGCUUAACACAUGCAAGUCGAACGAAGUGGCGAACGGGUGAGUAAUACGUGCGUAACCUGCCCUCCUGUUUGGGUUAAGCCUUGGAAACGUGGUCUAAUACCGGCUAAAGGGGGAUGGUCUCGCGGCCUAUUAGCUUGUGGGUGGGGUGAUGGACUACCAAGGCGGUGGCGGGUAGGCGGCGUGGACGGGGGACCGGGGAACUGGGGACUGGGCCACGGCCCAGACGGCGACGGGAGGGGGGAGUUGGGGAUAUUGGACAAAGGGCGGAAGCAGCAAGCAGGGGUGUCGGGUGAGGGAUUUAGGGUUUUGGGGUGUAAACCGCUGGCGCGAACGAACGGGUAGGUGGAGAAGAAGCGCCGGCUAACUACGUGCCAGCAGCCGCGGUAAUUC
rnacentral:rRNA from 1 species